rnacentral:rRNA from 1 species
CAGCCGCCGCGGGAAUACGUAGGUCCCGAGCGUUGUCCGGAUUUAUUGGGCGUAAAGCGAGCGCAGGCGGUUAGAUAAGUCUGAAGUUAAAGGCUGUGGCUUAACCAUAGCACGCUUUGGAAACUGUUUAACUUGAGUGCAAGAGGGGAGAGUGGAAUUCCAUGUGUAGCGGUGAAAUGCGUAGAUAUAUGGAGGAACACCGGUGGCGAAAGCGGCUCUCUGGCUUGUAACUGACGCUGAGGCUCGAAAGCGUGGGGCGCAAACAGGAUUAGAUACCCGAGUAGUCCCUGUCUCUUAUACA